UUUAACAUUUCAACAUCCCGCGUUCAGCAGCCUGUGCAAUUUCACUUCCCUCCAACUCCCCCAUUUUAGCUAUCAGAUUCAUUUCAUUACUCUUCCCAUCACCACAGUCCUCUCACUUUCCUUCCUGAUCUCCAUCAGCCAUGGCAUUUCGCUUUUAUAAUUUGGCCUGGGUUAUGAUUUCAUCGCACUCCAAUGCCCUCUCCGCCCACUGCCGUUUCGCCUCCAUGCUGCACCACCACAUCUUCCAAACCUAAAGUCUGAGCAAAGCAAAUUCGCUCAGCACGAAUGGGUAUUCCUUCUCUCCAUUUCAAUUUGUAGCUAAUGGGUAAAACCCAAAUUGGGAAUUCAUUUUGGGGUUUCUUUUUUAUCUGAGGAUGAACACGCACCAAGUUUUCAAGACGCGAGCCCAACACCUGCAGUCGUAGUAGUAGUCAUUGUAAUCGACGGUGGUGGAGGAGUCAGAGUCAUCAGGACGCAGAGCAAGUGAUUACGGGGUGAAAGGUUUGAUCGAUUUUGAGUCCUUGAUCUUACUCUGAAGAAGAAGAAGAAUCACCCAGACACUGAGAAAGUUUUGAGGUGCUAACUAAGAUAAGUGCUACUUCACCAAAUCUCCCUGCUGUUUCUUCACUACUGCUUCUAAGGUUGCUUUGGAGUGUUAACCUCUUGUUUUCACCAAAUUUGAUUCUGUCUGUGAAAAUGGUUUCAUCUUAAAUUGGGUUUUUGUGGCUUGCACUUUUGCAGUGAUAUUAAUAUUAAGGUUUGUAAUUUCUUGCGGGAAGUUACAAACCCAUGUUUAGUUUUUUACGUUGGAAUCAGUUUGAAUAUCAAAACAUAUGUAUUUUUACUCAUCUAGAAAAUUGAAGAUCAUGUAUCUUACUUUUAUCUCUGGGAUAUUGUUGUCAAUACUUGAGUUAAAUAAACUUUGUAAGGCUAGUCUGAUAUAGAGAAUGAAAUGUUGAUGGGUUGGAACACUUCUUUUCAUUCAGCAUGCCUCAUCAAACUAAUUGGAGAAAUACAUUAUUCUGGGCAUAAGAGUUGAGGAUGGAAUUCAGUAAAUAGGGGACCCGAUUUUGUUUGAGCCUCUGUAUUUGUUCAUGCUGUUCUUGCAUACAAAUUGUUGAUAUGUUAAUACGUUAUCAAAAGGUUUCUUUCCCCACCCCGUCUUUAGUUCCACCAGCUCUUCUAGAACAAUUGGAGCAGGGGACUAAUGUGGAUCUCUGUGAUGUCAAGAUUUUGAAAUCGAUCAAAUCAACCAGUUUACAUGUCGUGGAUAACUGAAGUUAUCUCAAAGAAAGACUUGGCAAGAGUGUAGCUGGAAGUAUCAAAGAGUAAGGUUUGAGCUUCUUUUUCUUCUAAUAACCUGAAAUGGUGUAUUUCAGUUGUGACUAUGGAUUUUUGAGGGUCUGAUUGUGAUAGAAGUUAUUUGAAGAGUACAAUAUAUUAUAGAGGGAUUUUAUAGUAGGUUGGGAGAAGCCCAAUGUGUUUAUGAAUGUCCCUAUUUGACAUCCAACUAUAUUGCUGUUCUGUUGUCAAAGCUUGCUAGAACUAUUAAAGCUUGCUGUUCUUUUUUUUCUUUUUCAUGUUGCAUACAUAAAUAUGCUAGAAGGUGAUCUAUUGAUCUAGAUUCUAGAAUGUGAUCUUUGGGUUGUCAAAGAAUGCAUCUAGGUCCUAGAUUUGGCCUAGUCUAAUCAUUAAGAGACGAGGACUUCAGGUGGGGAUGCAUACAAACAUGAUAGUUUAUAGGCUGUAUACUUAUUAUUUUGUACAUUUGGAAAUGAAGUUCAGAGUAUGGCAAAGGAAUGGAGGUGUCAGCAAGUGGCGACAUCUAUAGCUAUAAAAUCCUGCUAUUUGAGAUGUUGAUAGGCAAAAGAUUGACAGAUGACAUGUUUAAAGACGGCCUGAACUUGCAUAAAUUAUUCAAAUAAGGCUUUGGCCUCCUUAUCCUACUGGAUGGUGAUCAGAGCUGAGUCUUCUAGCCAUCCCGGUCAGCCAGCUUUUGAGCAAGCACUUGGAGCCUAUUAUUGAAGAGGAGCUUUUGAACGAGCACAUGGACACUAUUGAAGAGUGUGCUUUGUUUAGUGUAAGACUCGGCUUUGAUUAUCCAACAAGAUGCUACCAGUCUACUUUGUUCUUGGAAUUUUAUGAUCUGUACGUAAAUUUGAAUGCGUGACCGGGACGGCUAGAAGACUCAGCUCUUAUCAAGAUGCCACCAGUAUACUUUGUUCUUGGGAUUUUAUCAUUUGUACCUAAUUUUGAAUGCAUGGAAACUUUCUAAGUAUAUCAUGUCUUUUUUUCA